rnacentral:rRNA from 1 species
CUGUAGUCAUAUGCUUGUCUCAAAGAUUAAGCCAUGCAUGUCUAAGUAUAAGCAACUUGUACUGUGAAACUGCGAAUGGCUCAUUAAAUCAGUUAUCGUUUAUUUGAUAGUACCUUACUACAUGGAUACCUGUGGUAAUUCUAGAGCUAAUACAUGCUAAAAACCCCGACUUCAGGAAGGGGUGUAUUUAUUAGAUAAAAAACCAACGCCCUUCGGGGCUCCUUGGUGAAUCAUAAUAACUUAACGAAUCGCAUGGCCUUGCGCCGGCGAUGGUUCAUUCAAAUUUCUGCCCUAUCAACUUUCGAUGGUAGGAUAGUGGCCUACCAUGGUGGCAACGGGUAACGGGGAAUUAGGGUUCGAUUCCGGAGAGGGAGCCUGAGAAACGGCUACCACAUCCAAGGGAAGGCAGCAGGCGCGCAAAUUACCCAAUCCCGAUACGGGGAGGUAGUGACAAUAAAUACUGAUACGGGGCUCUUUUGGGUCUCGUAAUUGGAAUGAGAACAAUUUAAAUCCCUUAACGAGGAACAAUUGGAGGGCAAGUCUGGUGCCAGCAGCCGCGGUAAUUCCAGCUCCAAUAGCGUAUAUUAAAGUUGUUGCAGUUAAAAAGCUCGUAGUUGAACCUGGGGUCUGGCUGGCCGGUCCGCCUCACCGCGAGUACUG